rnacentral:rRNA from 1 species
UACGUAGGUGGCAAGCGUUGUCCGGAAUUAUUGGGCGUAAAGGGCGCGUAGGCGGCGAUUCAAGUGACGGGUGAAAUCCCUCGGCUUAACCGAGGAACUGCCUGUCAGACUGGAUUGCUUGAGGCCGGGAGAGGCGAGUGGAAUUCCCAGUGUAGCGGUGAAAUGCGUAGAUAUUGGGAGGAACACCAGUGGCGAAGGCGGCUCGCUGGACCGGUUCUGACGCUGAGGCGCGAAAGCGUGGGGAGCAAACAGG